GACGAACGCUGGCGGCGUGCUUAACACAUGCCAGUCGAACGGAAAGGCCCUGCUUUUGUGGGGUGCUCGAGUGGCGAACGGGUGAGUAACACGUGAGUAACCUGCCCUUGACUUUGGGAUAACUUCAGGAAACUGGGGCUAAUACCGGAUAGGAGCUCCUGCUGCAUGGUGGGGGUUGGAAAGUUUCGGCGGUUGGGGAUGGACUCGCGGCUUAUCAGCUUGUUGGUGGGGUAGUGGCUUACCAAGGCUUUGACGGGUAGCCAGCCUGAGAGGGUGACCGGCCACAUUGGGACUGAGAUACGGCCCAGACUCCUACGGGAGGCAGCAGUGGGGAAUAUUGCACAAUGGGCGGAAGCCUGAUGCAGCAACGCCGCGUGCGGGAUGACGGCCUUCGGGUUGUAAACCGCUUUCGCCUGUGACGAAGCGUGAGUGACGGUAAUGGGUAAAGAAGCACCGGCUAACUACGUG
rnacentral:rRNA from 1 species